rnacentral:rRNA from 1 species
UUGAGUUUGAUCCUGGCUCAGGUUGAAUGCUAGCGGUGCGCCUAAUACAUGCAAGUCGAGCGAGACUUCGAGUCGAGCGGCGAACGGCUGAGUAACACGUUGGUACCUACCCUAUACUCAGGGAUAACAAUUGGAAACGAUUGAUAAUACCGGAUAGUCCCGCAAGGGUAAAGAUUUAUUGGUAUAGGAGGGGCCUGCGGCUCAUCAGAUAGUUGGUAAGGUAACGGCUUACCAAGUCUAUGACGAGUAGCUGGUGUGAGAGCAUGACCAGCCAGAAUGGAACUGAGACACGGUCCAUACUCCUACGGGAGGCAGCAGUAAGGAAUCUUCCGCAAUGGACGAAAGUCUGACGGAGCGACACCGCGUGGAGGACGACACCUUUCGGGGCGUAAACUCCUUUUCUGAGUGAAUAAGUUCUGAAAUUAACUCAGGAAUAAGUGACGGCUAAUUACGUGCCAGCAGCCGCGGUAAUACGUGAGUCGCAAGCGUUAUCCGGAAUUAUUGGGCGUAAAGGGUCCGUAGCCGGAAAAGAAAGUCUGAUGUUAAAACACAGUGCUCAACACUGUGAUCGUAUCGGAAACUUCUUAUCUAGAGUUAUUCAGAGGUGCGUGGAAUUUCUUGUGUAGGGGUAAAAUCCGUAGAUAUAAGAAGGAACACCAAAAGCGAAGGCAGCGCACUGGGCAUAUACUGACGGUCAGGGACGAAAGCGUGGGGAGCAAAGAGGAUUAGAUACCCUCGUAGUCCACGCCCUAAACGAUGGAUACUCGAUGUUCGGGAGAUUCGACCCUCCUGAGUGUCUAAGCUAACGCGUUAAGUAUCCCGCCUGGGGACUACGGUCGCAAGACUAAAACUCAAAGGAAUAGACGGGGCCCACACAAGCGGUGGAGCAUGGGGUUUAAUUCGAUAAUACACGGGGAACCUUACCUGGACUUGACAUCCCGAGAAUCCUUCAGAGACGAAGGAGUGCCGCAAGGAACUCGGUGACAGGUGCUGCAUGGUUGUCGUCAGCUCGUGCCUUGAGGUGUGCGGUUAAGUCCGUAAACGAGCGUAACCCUUGUCGUAUGUUAUAUUUUUCAUGCGAGACUGCCUGGUACAACCAGGAGGAAGGUAAGGAUGACGUCAAAUCAGCAUGGCCCUUAUGUCCAGGGCUACACCUGUGCUACAAUGGCCGAUACAAAAGGUAGCGAAAUCGCGAGAUGGAGCCAAUCCCAAAAAUCGGUCUCAGUUCGGAUUGCAGGCUGAAACUCGCCUGCAUGAAGUUGGAAUCGCUAGUAAUCGUAGAUCAGCUAUGCUACGGUGAAUACGUUCCCGGGUCUUGUACUCACCGCCCGUCACACCAUGGGAGUUGAUUUCACCCGAAGCGGGGAAGCUAAACUGGCUACCCUCCACGGUGGAAUUAGCGACUGGGGUGAAGUCGUAACAAGGUAACCA